GACGAACGCUGGCGGCGUGCUUAACACAUGCAAGUCGAACGGAAAGGCCCUGCUUUUGUGGGGUGCUCGAGUGGCGAACGGGUGAGUAACACGUGAGUAACCUGCCCUUGACUUUGGGAUAACUUCAGGAAACUGGGGCUAAUACCGGAUAGGAGCUCCUGCUGCAUGGUGGGGGUUGGAAAGUUUCGGCGGUUGGGGAUGGACUGGCGGCUUAUCAGCUUGUUGGUGGGGUAGUGGCUUACCAAGGCUUUGACGGGUAGCCGGCCUGAGAGGGUGACCGGCCACAUGGGGACUGAGAUACGGCCCAGACGCCUACGGGAGGCAGCAGUGGGGAAUAUUGCACAAUGGGCGGGAGCCUGAUGCAGCAACGCCGCGUGCGGGAUGACGGCCUUCGGGGUGUAAACCGCUGUCGCCUGUGACGAAGCGUGAGUGACGGUAAUGGGUAAAGAAGCACCGGCUAACUACGUG
rnacentral:rRNA from 1 species